rnacentral:rRNA from 1 species
UACGGAGGGGGCUAGCGUUGUUCGGAAUUACUGGGCGUAAAGCGCGCGUAGGCGGAUUGCCAAGUCAGGGGUGAAAUCCUGGGGCUCAACCCCAGAACUGCCUUUGAUACUGGCAAUCUUGAGUUCGAGAGAGGUGAGUGGAAUUCCGAGUGUAGAGGUGAAAUUCGUAGAUAUUCGGAGGAACACCAGUGGCGAAGGCGGCUCACUGGCUCGAUACUGACGCUGAGGUGCGAAAGCGUGGGGAGCAAACAGG